GACGAACGCUGGCGGCGUGCUUAACACAUGCAAGUCGAACGGAAAGGCCCUGCUUUUGUGGGGUGCUCGAGUGGCGAACGGGUGAGUAACACGUGAGUAACCUGCCCUUGACUUUGGGAUAACUUCAGGAAACUGGGGCUAAUACCGGAUAGGAGCUCCUGCUGCAUGGUGGGGGUUGUAAAGUUUCGGCGUUUGGGGAUGGACGCGCGGCUUAUCAGCUUGUUGGUGGGGUAGUGGCUUACCAAGGCUUUGACGGGUAGCCGGCCUGAGAGGGUGACCGGCCACAUUGGGACUGAGAUACGGCCCAGACUCCUACGGGAGGCAGCAGUGGGGAAUAUUGCACAAUGGGCGGAGGCCUGAUGCAGCAACGCCGCGUGCGGGAUGACGGCCUUCGGGUUGUAAACCGCUUUCGCCUGUGACGAAGCGUGAGUGACGGUAAUGGGUAAAGAAGCACCGGCUAACUACGUG
rnacentral:rRNA from 1 species